rnacentral:lncRNA from 1 species
GAUCGAAAAGGCAAGCCUCCUGCCUGGGAGCCUCCUAACUACUCCUAGUAGUCUGCGGUCUUCACGUAGUAGUAGGCACCCUAGGGGUAGUAGCAGUCAUCAGUGGCGUCGUCUGGCUCCUGGGAUCCGUCAACUGGUCGCAAUAAUCGGGUAUGGGAGAAAAGAGGUAGCAAAGCAACCGUGAGUACUCAUCCAAAGUACUCGCAAUACUUACAUCAGAUCUAAACUAAGUAUGCAUCUGUAUCAAAGAAAUGGGCUGUAUCUAUGGACGAAACUGCAGAAUGCCAGAAGAGAAGGGGAAAGCCUAGCCUAUCGAAGACUAGCAUCUUCUGGAACCCACCAUCUUGCAG